GGGGUGCGCGUGGAGCCCGCCCCUCGGGCUGACCGCGUGGGGCCCGCACAGCGCCCUCCCUUCCCCCAACGCCCCGCGCCCGCGGGUCCUCGGUCUGCGCCUCGCCCAGCCGCUCGGGUCCCAUCGCCGCCCUCCCGGUGCCCAACAUCUCAGAAUCUACACCUCUUUUUUAGUUAAAACAACAAGAUAGGUUUUCAGAUGCCUGGAUCGCCCUGGGCUUCUAGAGGAACCGACUCAUUCUGCUCCCCCCCCUCCCUUUCUAACCCCCUUUUGUGGUCCACAGGGUUGUUUUAAGCAAAACCAAACAACCCCUCCAAAAAAAAAAAAAAAAAAAAAUGCAAACGAAAAAUUCCGGGUAAAAGCAACUAUGCCGAGACCACGUUUUCGUUGAAGCUGCCCUAAGACCAAAGAAGCCGAGACCGACCUUGAAGGAUUAGCGAUUUCUGUAACUGAAAUGUUCUAAUUUUACUGACGUUUGGUGGAGACGGUGAGAAAGAAUACAUGAGAGUUUGGCUUGGAAAAGGACAAAACAAACGAAUAAUCAUAUCUAACUUGGUUAACUGAAAAACCUAACAGCUGUAGUCCUGUCUUCUAGGCAGUGGUGUUUUGGAAAAUUACAAUAUACAAAAGUUAAGCGGGAUCCCUGGGUGGCGCAGCGGUUUGGUGCCUGCCUUUGGCCCAGGGCACGAUCCUGGAGACCUGGGAUCGAAUCCCACGUCGGGCUCCCAGUGCAUGGAGCCUGCUUCUCCCUCUGCCUCUGUCUCUGCCUCUCUCUCUCUCUGUGUGACUAUCAUAAAUAAAUAAAAAUUUAAAAAAAAAAUUUAAAAAAAAAAAAAAAAAAAAAAGUUAAGCCACAGAUUAUUAAUUUUCUUGUUAAAAUCUAAUAUCUAUGGGUUAAAAUAUUGUUCUUUUCCUUCCAAUUUUCCCAUGAAAGUUUGAAAUACAACCUAUUAAAAGCCAACAGACUUAAUGGCAUUUACAAGUACGUAAAACAGGUUUUGCUGAUUUUUUUUAAAUAAUCUUACAGAUAAAUUAAGGAUAUCAGAGAGUUUGAUUUUAUGUAUAUAUAACUGAUUAGAGGUGGAAUAUUCAAACAAAUUCAUUUUGAAAACAAUACAAUUCAAGUAACUUGCCACAGAGUGGCCUUAUCAGAGUGACUAUGCAAUGUAAUAUGAAGUUGCAAGCUUUGGAUUUUGAAUUGAGCCAUGGAUAUACAAAUAUAAAUAUGCAAAUAAAUUACUGUUUUCAAAAAUCA
rnacentral:lncRNA from 12 species